UACAGAGGGGGCAAGCGUUGUUCGGAAUUACUGGGCGUAAAGGGCGCGUAGGCGGCCCGCUAAGUCGAACGUGAAAUCCCCGAGCUCAACUCGGGAACUGCGUCCGAUACUGGCGGGCUUGAAUCCGGGAGAGGGAUGCGGAAUUCCAGGUGUAGCGGUGAAAUGCGUAGAUAUCGGGAGGAACACCAGUGGCGAAGGCGACUACCUGGCCUGUUUCUUGACGCUGAGGCGCGAAAGCUAGGGGAGCAAACGGG
rnacentral:rRNA from 1 species